AUUGAACGCUGGCGGCAUGCCUUACACAUGCAAGUCGAACGGUAACAGGUCUUCGGAUGCUGACGAGUGGCGAACGGGUGUGUAAUACAUCGGAACGUGCCCGAUCGUGGGGGAUAACGGAGCGAAAGCUUUGCUAAUACCGCAUACGAUCUACGGAUGAAAGCAGGGGACCGCAAGGCCUUGCGCGGACGGAGCGGCCGAUGGCAGAUUAGGUAGUUGGUGGGAUAAAAGCUUACCAAGCCGACGAUCUGUAGCUGGUCUGAGAGGACGACCAGCCACACUGGGACUGAGACACGGCCCAGACUCCUACGGGAGGCAGCAGUGGGGAAUUUUGGACAAUGGGCGAAAGCCUGAUCCAGCCAUGCCGCGUGCAGGAUGAAGGCCUUCGGGUUGUAAACUGCUUUUGUACGGAACGAAAAGACUCUUUCUAAUAAAGAGGGUCCAUGACGGUACCGUAAGAAUAAGCACCGGCUAACUACGUG
rnacentral:rRNA from 1 species